CAACUUUUUUAUUAAACAAACCUUCGUCGAAGUUGUGGAAGAAGAUAUCUGUUUCUAAAAAUCAACUUGAGAACAGAAAAAUCAAAGAAGAUAGUAAGAAGCUGUAGAAGGCAUCCUCUGUGGAAAACGUGCUAGCAAUAAUGCAACUGUAGAAUUGUCAUAGGUUAUCAGUGCUAAAAGAUAAUGGUGCAUGGCUGUGAAAGAAUCUCUAGAGUAUAUUCCUUUAGGUUAAAGCAAUGUCGCCUCUUUGUUAUAUAAAAGAGACUCAUCAAUAUGUAUUUAGAGAGCUCAAAGGUUAAUAUGAACGAAAGUAUAAGUAUCUUUUACAGAACUGUUUUUUCUCAUCUUCUACCCGUUUUUGUUUCUAGGUUUACGCAUGACAUACGAAGUUCACGAUGCAACUAAUUUAAUAUUCAACCCACAUCCACGGGAUGCGGAUUGAUCAUAAUUUAAGAGAGCUUUUGACUCGCGUUCAUCUUCAUGGAUUGAGUUUUAUCAAGCGGUGAGACGGACACUGGGCCAGACAGAGGAUGUGCUUAUGACAGACAGUUUAGUCACAUGCUCAUAGUGAAGUUGAGAUACACAUAGUCAAGGACACACUGUAUAUAGGUUUUAACAUUUGAAGAUUUUAUAUAUACAAGUAGAUAUGGUUGACUUUUAGCUUCUGAGGAAACACAGAAGGGCAAUGUUAUUCCAGAAGCUUUAUACUAAUUUGUCAAUACAUUGAAGUUUUG